UACAGAGGUCUCGAGCGUUGUCCGGAUUCAUUGGGCGUAAAGCGCGCGUAGGCGGCCACGCAAGUCGGGUGUGAAAUCCCGGAGCUCAACUCCGGAACUGCACUCGAAACUGCGCGGCUUGAGGUAGGUAGGGGAGAUCGGAAUUCCUGGUGUAGCGGUGGAAUGCGCAGAUAUCAGGAGGAACACCAAUUGCGAAGGCAGCUCGCUGGGACGUUACUGACGCUGAGACGCGAAAGCGUGGGGAGCAAACAGG
rnacentral:rRNA from 1 species